UAGGGAAUCUUCCACAAUGGACGAAAGUCUGAUGGAGCAACGCCGCGUGAGUGAAGAAGGUUUUCGGAUCGUAAAGCUCUGUUGUUGGUGAAGAAGGAUAGAGGCAGUAACUGGUCUUUAUUUGACGGUAAUUAACCAGAAAGUCACGGCUAACUACGUGCCAG
rnacentral:rRNA from 1 species